rnacentral:rRNA from 1 species
AACGAGACCUUAACCUGCUAAAUAGCCAGGCUAGCUUUGGCUGGUCGCCGGCUUCUUAGAGGGACUAUCGGCUCAAGCCGAUGGAAGUUUGAGGCAAUAACAGGUUGGCACACAGGCCUGUAAAAGUAGGUUUUGACCUGCUAGUCUAGCACCUAAUCUCCGUGAAGAAGUCUUCUUCUGCCGGGCGGAGAGAUGCGAAAGCAUUCGGUGUGGGCAACACUACCUGGAACAGGGGACGCCGGAGGCCUUCG